rnacentral:rRNA from 1 species
CCUACGGGAGACAGCAGUGGGGGAUAUUGGACAAUGGGGGGAACCCUGAUCCAGCGACGCCGCGUGAGUGAAGAAGUAUCUCGGUAUGUAAAGCUCUAUCAGCAGGGAAGAAGAAAUGACGGUACCUGAGUAAGAAGCCCCGGCUAACUACGUGCCAGCAGCCGCGGUAAUACGUAGGGGGCAAGCGUUAUCCGGAAUUACUGGGUGUAAAGGGAGCGUAGACGGUGAUGUAAGUCUGGAGUGAAAGGCGGGGGCCCAACCCCCGGACUGCUCUGGAAACUAUGUGACUGGAGUGCAGGAGAGGUGAGCGGAAUGCCUAGUGUAGCGGUGAAAUGCGUAGAUAUUAGGAGGAACAUCAGGGGCGAAGGCGACUUACUGGACUGUAACUGACACUGAGGCACGAAAGCGUGGGGAGCAAACAGGAUUAGAUACCCCUGUAGUC